AGUAUAUAAGCAGGAGGCUGCCAGCACUUCGAUGCCACAGUGUUUGCCUUCAGUGGUAACCAGCUCAGCCACUUCUAAGCUAUGCUUCGUUCUUUGUCACUAAGCUGAGGUUGUUUAUGUUCCUUCGCAGGCAGAAACCUGAACCUUCUGAUCAUUCUUCUUUGAACUUUGACUUCGGUUCCAGAAGUUUCUGGAUGAUCAAGAUUACUUAUGUUUGGUGGAUUUUGUUUGGAUUUCGUUUCCAAGUACCAAGCUGGCAGCGUCCUGUUAUCCUCCGUCUCCUGAACCAAGGCAGAAGCGUACCCUGUCCACCCUCCAACGCAAGUACCUGAACAUUGAAUUUACUCCUGAACUCACCAGAACUCACUCUACAGCUCAAGUAAACCAUCUGGAUUUUCUUCGCUUCACACACCUGGGUCUCGACUCCCUCUACCCCUAGCGACCUGACUUCACUCACUUAUUGGCGAUUCUUCCAUUCAUGUUCCUGUAUCACUUUGUAAAUAAAACACCUUUCACUAA